UUAUGAGAUUCAACAUUUCUUUUUUUUUUUAAGUGAAGCUAGUGAACUUUCUGGAAUCCUGAAAAUGAUAAUUUCCUUAAAAUGUAUUCAUCCUCAGGUCAUCCAAGAUGUAAAAGAGUUUGUUUCUUCUUGGGAACAGAUCUGGAGAAUUAUAGCAUUACAUCACUUGGUCACCAGUGGAUCCUCUGCAGUGAAUGGGUGCCGUCAGAAUGUCCAAGAAAGUCCAAACAGCUGAUUAAAACAUCACAAUAAUCCACAAGUAUUUCACUCCACUCCAGUCCAUCAAUUAACAACUUGUGAUGUGAAAAACUGUGUUUGAUGUGAGAGGACAACAGGGGAUGCACUUUUUCACUUGAGGAUUUUUUAUUAUGGUUUAUGGACUGGUAUCUUGGCCAAAAGCGACAGAUUUAUUUCUUAUAAACACAGCUUUUCACUUCACAAGAUAUUAACUGAUGGACUGUGUCACUUUAUCUUCGAGAGACGCGGUACCAUCACCAUCAAGGGGAAUGUGGAGAUUGAGACGUACUGGCUGAAAGGAAAGAGAGAUAAAGAUGGAAACGCUCAGGCUGCAUGCCCGCAGUUUGAAGCCCAGACCAUCAGUAAAGCCGCCAUCUCUGCCCCCGAAGCACCCAUCGAUGAGGAUGUGCUGGUGUUCCCCUCAGUGGCAGGUGAGGAUGAGGAUGAUGUGAAAUCUAUCCGCUCUCACCGCAUGAAGAUGGAAACCUCUAGAAACUCUCUUGAGGAGUCGAUGGAGGAGUGUCGGGUUGAAGAAGCGUCCGUCAGUAAGGUGAGAUCUGUGAUUUCUGUGCCUGUGUAUAUGAGUGAUGAGAUGUUACACAACGACACAUGAUAAUAUCAAAUGUUCUCUCUCAGUCUCAUUAUAAGGACGCUCUUCAGGACAGCAGUCUGCAGGACCCACACAUUGACCUCGACUCAGCUGAGUUUGACGGUCGAGAUUCAAUAAUGGAGUCUCCUGCUGGCUCGUGUGAUUCCCACGGCUCUGAGAAGAGCACCAUGUGCUCUGUGUGCUAAACACAGUGAUCAUGACAUGGCUUUGAAAUUGAUCUUUUCUAAAGCAUUCAACUGUUUCAGCCUUUUUAGUUUUAAUAGCCCAUUCUCAGCAUCAAAUGGCUAUUGAUCUGCAUGUGUUUCCCAAAGAAUUCUGUAAAUUGGAUUCACUGGAUUGUCUUAUAAAUAGAUUAGAGGUAUUAUUGAAAUUAAAUGUGCUUUUUGUGUUGGCUUCUCAUCUGUAUUCAGUCUCAUUCAGGUUAAAGCUUUAUAAACCUUUUUUCCCUUUUGCUGGUUUCAUGCUUUAUAUUGACAGAUACCUUUAUUAUAUUUAUUUUUAAUGAAUCUCCUGAUAAAAAUUAAAGGGUCAUAUUUCAUUCUAUUUCAUCAAUCAAAAGGAAAAUAAUAUUAUUAUGUUAUUAAAUUAUUAUUAUUAUACAUUUAUUUUUGACAUUAUUUGCAUGGUAAUUCAGCACAUUCCACCAGAUUCUCAUUUAGUAAUUAAAACCAUUGAAACAAUAAAAAAAGGAAAAAUAAAUAAAAUAAGCAUAAAUUAAGCAGUGCAACAAAUACUACAAUGAUGUAUAAAUAUUUAGCAAUUUAAAUAAUAUAUACUUUUCUUUAAGAAUGCUAAUUGGGGAAGUUCUUACUUGACAUUAAAAUAAUUUGAUAUACAACCUUUUAAAAGUUGUCUAUAAGAUUUUAUGUUUUUGAAAGAAGUCUCUUCUGCUCACCAAAGCUGCAUUCAUUUAACCAAAAAUACAGUAAGAUCAGUAAUAUUGUAAAAUGUUUUUGCUAAAACAAUGUUGCAUUUUUGCUGUCAGUUUUGAUCAAUUUAAUAUUCCCUUGCUAAAUAAAAGUAUUAAAAAAAAUCAAAAUAAAUAAAUCAAACUUGAAUGAUAGUGUAUAUUUUUAGCUUUUUAACUGGGGUAAAAUGUGACCUGAACAUGUUUUAAUUUUAGUAAGAUUCAUCCAGUAUUUAGUUGGUGCUCCUGAAGACUCCUCAUUGAAGUCAUUCAGGAUGAACUGUUUGGGGUCUGUGCUUCAUCUGUCAACAUCGUGUGUGACGUGUGGUCCAUUACCGCAAAAAAAUAAUUUGAACUUUUCUCUCAACUCUUAAAAACAAACAAAAAUCACGAUUAGUGUAUAACGCACUCAUAAUGGUCUUGUUUUCAGCACUUAGAGUAAUUCUUCUGGUGCUCUACAUGCCUGACUGUUGUCAUGUGUGUAUUAUGUGAGAGUUACUGUGUUUAUCAGCUUUAAAGAGUAAAAAAAAUGGAUAUAGGCUAUUUUACACAAUAGUUAGUGAUGCUGCUAUCCUGUUUACACACUGUUUAUGUCUUGUAGCUACAUUUUAGAAAGAUUUAUCCCAGUGCAACGUUUUACAAACUGAGAGAAGGCUCAGAAUUAUUUCAAGUGGUAAUUUACUAUCACAGAUGACACUUUGCAGCUCUUCUCAAGAUUUGUCUGAUCUUUCUCUCUGGUUUGCCCUUUAAGUUUUUGAUGUGUUUCUCUGUCUGUGUGUUGUUUGCUUGCUGUCUGUUUCCUCAAAGUGAUGUGAAAAUAAAGCAGGAGUGACAGCGUGACUCAUUUAAUCAGCGUUGUUCAAUAUAUUUCAGUAGAUCACAAGCAGGCUCAAUAAUUUCACACAUUACUUCUGCUGCAUACGCAGAAAUACGCAGUCAUUUCAGUUUCUGUUAUGAGACGAAGAAGGUUAGAACUGGCAAAGAAAAUGAUAAAGCUAUAUUCUGCUUUUUAACCAGUCAGGUUUUUGUUAAAAGAAAAAAAAAAAAAAAAGGCAUGUUUAUUAUUAAUUUAAAUAAGUGUUUCUAUGUUAAUAUAUUUAAAUAUCAUUUAUUCCGCUGAUUUAAAGCUGAAUUUUUAGGUAUCAUUACUCCAGUCUUCAGUGUCACAUGAUGCUUCAGAAAUCAUUCUAAUAUGAUGACAUUUCUGAUUUUUGUCAGUGUUAAAAAUAGUUGUGCUGAUUAAUAUUUUUGCAGAAACUGUAAUACAUUUUAUUACAGGAUUUACUGAUGAAUAUAAAAGUUGAAAAACAAAAACAGCAUUUAGCAAAACAGAACAGCAAAAUAGAAAUCUUUCAUAACAUAAAUGUUUUGAAUGUGUGCUUUCUGAAUAAAAGUAUUAAUAAAAAACAGCAUAGUGUUUUGUAUAUUUAUUUAUUUAUUUUUAAAUAUGAUGACUAAAUUAAAUACUAAUUCAUUUACUUUGCAGUUUAUAUCCCUCAAAAUUAAAUAAAUAAGGAUAGAAAAAUAAACAAAUAAGGAAAGAAAAACAAACAAACAUUAACUAGUGAUUUAGUUUCUUUGAGAGGUCUUUCUCAGAUGGUGUUUCCCAGCGAGGGGCUGGAGGAGCUGCGUCUGAAGGUGGCGUCCUCUCUGUCCAGACUGCAGCCGGAGGUUUGCCGCCCGUCUUUGGGAGACGUCUGCAGUGUGCAGUGGAAGCAGAAGGCGUAGAAGAACGCCACCAACAGCAGAAAGCAGACGAUGCAGAAGAUGAUGACUAUGAGGAUGGUGUGAACGUGUACGUGAAGAGAGUCUUCAGAUGGGAACCCAGGGCUGAUUGUCGGGGUCACUGCAGACGUCACCUUCCCGCCGCCGACAUACCCCUCAGAGCUGAGGUGUGCCACACCACUCAUGACGGCGAGGGGAAUUAUGGGUAACCUGGUGAAGAGGUGAAGAGAGUUUUUAAAAUGUCUCUUAUGCUCACCAAAGCUGCAUUCAUUCAAUCAAAAAUACAGUAAAAACAGAAAUAUUUUUAAAUAUUAUUAUAAAUAACUCUUUUCUAUGUGAAUAAUAUUUUAAAAUGUAAUUAAUUCCUGUGAUCAAAGCUGAAUUUCCAGCAUCAUUACUGCAGUCUUUAGUGUUGCAUG
rnacentral:lncRNA from 1 species